rnacentral:rRNA from 1 species
GACGAGCCUCACAAACGUUAUUCGGAAUCACUGGGCUUAAAGGGUGCGUAGGCGGUGCGGAGAGUCGGGUGUGAAAUACCUCAGCUUAACUGAGGAACUGCACUCGAUACUUCCGUGCUAGAGUAAGACAGAGGUGAGUGGAACUGAGGGUGGAGCGGUGAAAUGCGUUGAUAUCCUCAGGAACACCGGAGGCGAAGGCGGCUCACUGGGGAUUUUCUGACGCUGAGGAACGAAAGCCAGGGGAGCGAACGGG